rnacentral:rRNA from 1 species
GGGUUGUGAGGUUAAGCGACUAAGCGUACACGGUGGAUGCCCUGGCAGUCAGAGGCGAUGAAGGGCGUGCUAAUCUGCGAUAAGCGCCGGUAAGGUGAUAUGAACCGUUAUAACCGGCGAUACCCGAAUGGGGAAACCCAGUGUGAUUCGUCACACUAUCAUUAACUGAAUCCAUAGGUUAAUGAGGCGAACCGGGGGAACUGAAACAUCUAAGUACCCCGAGGAAAAGAAAUCAACCGAGAUUCCCCCAGUAGCGGCGAGCGAACGGGGAGGAGCCCAGAGCCUGAAUCAGCAUGUGUGUUAGUGGAAGCGUCUGGAAAGGCGCGCGAUACAGGGUGACAGCCCCGUACACAAAAGCGCAUGUGCUGUGAGCUCGAUGAGUAGGGCGGGACACGUGGUAUCCUGUCUGAAUAUGGGGGGACCAUCCUCCAAGGCUAAAUACUCCUGACUGACCGAUAGUGAACCAGUACCGUGAGGGAAAGGCGAAAAGAACCCCGGCGAGGGGAGUGAAAAAGAACCUGAAACCGUGUACGUACAAGCAGUGGGAGCAUUUUGUAUAAUGGGUCAGCGACUUAUAUUCUGUAGCAAGGUUAACCGAAUAGGGGAGCCGGAGGGAAACCGAGUCUUAAUUGGGCGUUAAGUUGCAGGGUAUAGACCCGAAACCCGGUGAUCUAGCCAUGGGCAGGUUGAAGGUUGGGUAACACUAACUGGAGGACCGAACCGACUAAUGUUGAAAAAUUAGCGGAUGACCUGUGGCUGGGGGUGAAAGGCCAAUCAAACCGGGAGAUAGCUGGUUCUCCCCGAAAGCUAUUUAGGUAGCGCCUCGUGAAUUCAUCUCCGGGGGUAGAGCACUGUUUCGGCUAGGGGGCCAUCCCGGCUUACCAACCCGAUGCAAACUGCGAAUACCGGAGAAUGUUAUCACGGGAGACACACGGCGGGUGCUAACGUCCGUCGUGAAGAGGGAAACAACCCAGACCGCCAGCUAAGGUCCCAAAGUCAUGGUUAAGUGGGAAACGAUGUGGGAAGGCCCAGACAGCCAGGAUGUUGGCUUAGAAGCAGCCAUCAUUUAAAGAAAGCGUAAUAGCUCACUGGUCGAGUCGGCCUGCGCGGAAGAUGUAACGGGGCUAAACCAUGCACCGAAGCUGCGGCAGCGACACUGUGUGUUGUUGGGUAGGGGAGCGUUCUGUAAGCCUGUGAAGGUGUGUCGUGAGGCAUGCUGGAGGUAUCAGAAGUGCGAAUGCUGACAUAAGUAACGAUAAAGCGGGUGAAAAGCCCGCUCGCCGGAAGACCAAGGGUUCCUGUCCAACGUUAAUCGGGGCAGGGUGAGUCGACCCCUAAGGCGAGGCCGAAAGGCGUAGUCGAUGGGAAACGGGUUAAUAUUCCCGUACUUGGUGUUACUGCGAAGGGGGGACGGAGAAGGCUAUGUUGGCCGGGCGACGGUUGUCCCGGUUUAAGCGUGUAGGUGUGUGUUCCAGGUAAAUCCGGUUCACUUUAACACUGAGGCGUGACGACGAGGCACUACGGUGCUGAAGCAACAAAUGCCCUGCUUCCAGGAAAAGCCUCUAAGCAUCAGGUAACAUCAAAUCGUACCCCAAACCGACACAGGUGGUCAGGUAGAGAAUACCAAGGCGCUUGAGAGAACUCGGGUGAAGGAACUAGGCAAAAUGGUGCCGUAACUUCGGGAGAAGGCACGCUGACACGUAGGUGAAGUGAUUUACUCAUGGAGCUGAAGUCAGUCGAAGAUACCAGCUGGCUGCAACUGUUUAUUAAAAACACAGCACUGUGCAAACACGAAAGUGGACGUAUACGGUGUGACGCCUGCCCGGUGCCGGAAGGUUAAUUGAUGGGGUCAGCGCAAGCGAAGCUCCUGAUCGAAGCCCCGGUAAACGGCGGCCGUAACUAUAACGGUCCUAAGGUAGCGAAAUUCCUUGUCGGGUAAGUUCCGACCUGCACGAAUGGCGUAAUGAUGGCCAGGCUGUCUCCACCCGAGACUCAGUGAAAUUGAACUCGCUGUGAAGAUGCAGUGUACCCGCGGCAAGACGGAAAGACCCCGUGAACCUUUACUAUAGCUUGACACUGAACAUUGAGCCUUGAUGUGUAGGAUAGGUGGGAGGCUUUGAAGUGUGGACGCCAGUCUGCAUGGAGCCGACCUUGAAAUACCACCCUUUAAUGUUUGAUGUUCUAACGUGGACCCGUUACCCGGGUUGCGGACAGUGUCUGGUGGGUAGUUUGACUGGGGCGGUCUCCUCCUAAAGAGUAACGGAGGAGCACGAAGGUUGGCUAAUCCUGGUCGGACAUCAGGAGGUUAGUGCAAUGGCAUAAGCCAGCUUGACUGCGAGCGUGACGGCGCGAGCAGGUGCGAAAGCAGGUCAUAGUGAUCCGGUGGUUCUGAAUGGAAGGGCCAUCGCUCAACGGAUAAAAGGUACUCCGGGGAUAACAGGCUGAUACCGCCCAAGAGUUCAUAUCGACGGCGGUGUUUGGCACCUCGAUGUCGGCUCAUCACAUCCUGGGGCUGAAGUAGGUCCCAAGGGUAUGGCUGUUCGCCAUUUAAAGUGGUACGCGAGCUGGGUUUAGAACGUCGUGAGACAGUUCGGUCCCUAUCUGCCGUGGGCGCUGGAGAACUGAGGGGGGCUGCUCCUAGUACGAGAGGACCGGAGUGGACGCAUCACUGGUGUUCGGGUUGUCAUGCCAAUGGCACUGCCCGGUAGCUAAAUGCGGAAGAGAUAAGUGCUGAAAGCAUCUAAGCACGAAACUUGCCCCGAGAUGAGUUCUCCCUGAGACUUAGAGUCUCCUGAAGGAACGUUGAAGACGACGACGUUGAUAGGCCGGGUGUGUAAGCGCAGCGAUGCGUUGAGCUAACCGGUACUAAUGAACCGUGAGGCUUAACCUUACAACGCCGAAG